AUUGAACGCUGGCGGCAGGCUUAACACAUGCAAGUCGAGCGAGCGGCGGACGGGUGAGUAAUGUCUGGGAAACUGCCUGAUGGACGGGGAUACCUACUGGAAACGGUAGCUAAUACCGCAUACCAUCAGAUGUGCCCAGAUGGGAUUAGCUAGUAGGUGGGGUAAUGGCGCAACUAGGCGACGAUCCCUAGCUGGUCUGAGAGGAGGACCAGCCAGACGGGAACUGAGACACGGUCCAGACGCCUACGGGAGGGAGCAGUGGGGAAUAUUGCACAAUGGGCGCAAGCCUGAUGCAGCCAUGCCGCGUGUGUGAAGAAGGCCGUCGGGUUGUAAAGCACUUUCAGCGAGGAGGCGUUACUCGCAGAAGAAGCACCGGCUAACUACGUGCCAGCAGCCGCGGUAAUAC
rnacentral:rRNA from 1 species